rnacentral:rRNA from 1 species
CGUAGGUGCAAGCGUUAAUCGGAAUUACUGGGCGUAAGCGUGCGCAGGCGGUUAUGUAAGACAGAUGUGAAUGCCCGGGCUCAACCUGGGAACUGCAUUUGUGACUGCAUGGCUAGAGUGCGUCAGAGGGGUAGGAAGUUCCACGUGUAGCAGUGAAAUGCGUAGAUAUGUGGAGGAAUACCGAUGGCGAAGGCAGCCCCCUCGGGAGUAACACUGACGCUCAUGCACGAAAGCGUGGGGAGCAAACAGGAUU